rnacentral:rRNA from 1 species
GGGUUGUGAGGUUAAGCGACUAAGCGUACACGGUGGAUGCCCCGGCAGUCAGAGGCGAUGAAGGACGUGCUAAUCUGCGAUAAGCGUCGGUAAGGUGAUAUGAACCGUUAUAACCGGCGAUUUCCGAAUGGGGAAACCCAGUGUGUUUCGACACACUAUCAUUAACUGAAUCCAUAGGUUAAUGAGGCGAACCGGGGGAACUGAAACAUCUAAGUACCCCGAGGAAAAGAAAUCAACCGAGAUUCCCCCAGUAGCGGCGAGCGAACGGGGAGCAGCCCAGAGCCUGAAUCAGUGUGUGUGUUAGUGGAAGCGUCUGGAAAGGCGCGCGAUACAGGGUGACAGCCCCGUACACAAAAAUGCACAUAUUGUGAGCUCGAUGAGUAGGGCGGGACACGUGGUAUCCUGUCUGAAUAUGGGGGGACCAUCCUCCAAGGCUAAAUACUCCUGACUGACCGAUAGUGAACCAGUACCGUGAGGGAAAGGCGAAAAGAACCCCGGCGAGGGGAGUGAAAAAGAACCUGAAACCGUGUACGUACAAGCAGUGGGAGCCUCUUUUAUGGGGUGACUGCGUACCUUUUGUAUAAUGGGUCAGCGACUUAUAUUCUGUAGCAAGGUUAACCGAAUAGGGGAGCCGAAGGGAAACCGAGUCUUAACUGGGCGUUAAGUUGCAGGGUAUAGACCCGAAACCCGGUGAUCUAGCCAUGGGCAGGUUGAAGGUUGGGUAACACUAACUGGAGGACCGAACCGACUAAUGUUGAAAAAUUAGCGGAUGACUUGUGGCUGGGGGUGAAAGGCCAAUCAAACCGGGAGAUAGCUGGUUCUCCCCGAAAGCUAUUUAGGUAGCGCCUCGUGAAUUCAUCUCCGGGGGUAGAGCACUGUUUCGGCAAGGGGGUCAUCCCGACUUACCAACCCGAUGCAAACUGCGAAUACCGGAGAAUGUUAUCACGGGAGACACACGGCGGGUGCUAACGUCCGUCGUGAAGAGGGAAACAACCCAGACCGCCAGCUAAGGUCCCAAAGUCAUGGUUAAGUGGGAAACGAUGUGGGAAGGCCCAGACAGCCGUGAUGUUGGCUUAGAAGCAGCCAUCAUUUAAAGAAAGCGUAAUAGCUCACUGGUCGAGUCGGCCUGCGCGGAAGAUGUAACGGGGCUAAACCAUGCACCGAAGCUGCGGCAGCGACGCUGAUGCGUUGUUGGGUAGGGGAGCGUUCUGUAAGCCUGCGAAGGUGUGCUGUGAGGCAUGCUGGAGGUAUCAGAAGUGCGAAUGCUGACAUAAGUAACGAUAAAGCGGGUGAAAAGCCCGCUCGCCGGAAGACCAAGGGUUCCUGUCCAACGUUAAUCGGGGCAGGGUGAGUCGACCCCUAAGGCGAGGCCGAAAGGCGUAGUCGAUGGGAAACAGGUCAAUAUUCCUGUACUUGGUGUUACUGCGAAGGGGGGACGGAGAAGGCUAUGUUGGCCGGGCGACGGUUGUCCCGGUUUAAGCGUGUAAGCUGGUUUUCCGUGCAAAUCCGGAAAAUCAAGGCUGAGGCGUGAUGACGAGGCACUACGGUGCUGAAGCAACAAAUGCCCUGCUUCCGGGAAAAGCCUCUAAGCAUCAGGUAACAUCAAAUCGUACCCCAAACCGACACAGGUGGUCAGGUAGAGAAUACCAAGGCGCUUGAGAGAACUCGGGUGAAGGAACUAGGCAAAAUGGUGCCGUAACUUCGGGAGAAGGCACGCUGAUAUGUAGGUGAAGUCCCUCGCGGAUGGAGCUGAAAUCAGUCGAAGAUACCAGCUGGCUGCAACUGUUUAUUAAAAACACAGCACUGUGCAAACACGAAAGUGGACGUAUACGGUGUGACGCCUGCCCGGUGCCGGAAGGUUAAUUGAUGGGGUCAGCGCAAGCGAAGCUCUUGAUCGAAGCCCCGGUAAACGGCGGCCGUAACUAUAACGGUCCUAAGGUAGCGAAAUUCCUUGUCGGGUAAGUUCCGACCUGCACGAAUGGCGUAAUGAUGGCCGGCUGUCUCCACCCGAGACUCAGUGAAAUUGAACUCGCUGUGAAGAUGCAGUGUACCCGCGGCAAGACGGAAAGACCCCGUGAACCUUUACUAUAGCUUGACACUGAACAUUGAGCCUUGAUGUGUAGGAUAGGUGGGAGGCUUUGAAGUGUGGACGCCAGUCUGCAUGGAGCCGACCUUGAAAUACCACCCUUUAAUGUUUGAUGUUCUAACGUUGACCCGUAAUCCGGGUUGCGGACAGUGUCUGGUGGGUAGUUUGACUGGGGCGGUCUCCUCCUAAAGAGUAACGGAGGAGCACGAAGGUUGGCUAAUCCUGGUCGGACAUCAGGAGGUUAGUGCAAUGGCAUAAGCCAGCUUGACUGCGAGCGUGACGGCGCGAGCAGGUGCGAAAGCAGGUCAUAGUGAUCCGGUGGUUCUGAAUGGAAGGGCCAUCGCUCAACGGAUAAAAGGUACUCCGGGGAUAACAGGCUGAUACCGCCCAAGAGUUCAUAUCGACGGCGGUGUUUGGCACCUCGAUGUCGGCUCAUCACAUCCUGGGGCUGAAGUAGGUCCCAAGGGUAUGGCUGUUCGCCAUUUAAAGUGGUACGCGAGCUGGGUUUAGAACGUCGUGAGACAGUUCGGUCCCUAUCUGCCGUGGGCGCUGGAGAACUGAGGGGGGCUGCUCCUAGUACGAGAGGACCGGAGUGGACGCAUCACUGGUGUUCGGGUUGUCAUGCCAAUGGCACUGCCCGGUAGCUAAAUGCGGAAGAGAUAAGUGCUGAAAGCAUCUAAGCACGAAACUUGCCCCGAGAUGAGUUCUCCCUGACUCCUUAAGAGUCCUGAAGGAACGUUGAAGACGACGACGUUGAUAGGCCGGGUGUGUAAGCGCAGCGAUGCGUUGAGCUAACCGGUACUAAUGAACCGUGAGGCUUAACCUUACAACGCCGAAGGUGUUU